rnacentral:rRNA from 1 species
GAAUUUUGGACAAUGGGCGAAAGCCUGAUCCAGCAAUGCCGCGUGCAGGAUGAAGGCCUUCGGGUUGUAAACUGCUUUUGUACGGAACGAAAAGCUUUGGGUUAAUACCCUGGCGUCAUGACGGUACCUUAAGACUACGAACCGGCUACUUACGUUCCAACAGCCGCGGGAAUACGGAGGGUGCAAGCGUUAAUCGGCAUUACUGGGCGUAAAGAGUGCGCAGGCGGUGUUGUAAGACAGAGGUGAAAUCCCCGGGCUCAACCUGGGAACUGCCUUUGUGACUGCAAGGCUAGAGUACGGCAGAGGGGGGUGGAAUUCCUCGUGUACCAGUGAAAUGCGUAGAUAUGCGGAGGAACACCGAUGGCGAAGGCAACCCCCUGGGCCUGUACUGACGCUCAUGCACGAAAGCGUGGGGAGCAAACA